CCAAUAGCGUAUAUUAAAGUUGUUGCAGUUAAAAAGCUCGUAGUUGAAUUUCGGGGUUAGUAGGUUGGUCAUGCCUCUGGUAUGUACUGGUCUCACUGAUUCCUCCUUCCUGAUGAACCUUAAUGCCAUUAAUUUGGUGUUUUGGGGAAUUUGGACUGUUACUUUGAAAAAAUUAGAGUGUUUAAAGCAAGCUAACGCUUGAAUACAUUAGCCUGGAAUAAUGAAAUAGGACGUUCGAUCCUAUUUUGUUGGUUUCUAGGAUUGACGUAAUGAUUAAUAGGGAUAGUUGGGGGCAUUAGUAUUCAAUUGUCAGAGGUGAAAUUCUUGGAUUUAUUGAAGACUAACUACUGCGAAAGCAUUUGCCAAGGAUGUUUUCAUUAAUCAAGAACGAAAGUUAGGGGAUCGAAGACGAUCAGAUACCGUCGUAGUCUUAACCAUAAACUAUGCCGACUAGGGAUCGGAUGAUGUUAAUUUUUUAAUGACUCAUUCGGCGCCUUACG
rnacentral:rRNA from 1 species